UACGGAGGGUGCAAGCGUUAAUCGGAAUUACUGGGCGUAAAGCGUGCGCAGGCGGUUUGUUAAGUCUGUUGUGAAAUCCCCGAGCUCAACUUGGGAAUUGCAAUGGAUACUGGCAGGCUGGAGUAUGGUAGAGGAAGGUGGAAUUCCAGGUGUAGCGGUGAAAUGCGUAGAUAUCUGGAGGAACACCGGUGGCGAAGGCGACAUCCUGGACCAAUACUGACGCUGAGGAGCGAAAGCCAGGGGAGCAAACGGG
rnacentral:rRNA from 1 species